GGACCCGCACAAGUAGUGGAGCAUGUGGUUUAAUUCGAAGAUACGCGCAGAACCUUACCAACACUUGACAUGUUCGUCGCGACUUUGAGAGAUCAAAGUUUUCGGUUCGGCCGGACGAAACACAGGUGCUGCAUGGCUGUCGUCAGCUCGUGUCGUGAGAUGUUGGGUUAAGUCCCGCAACGAGCGCAACCCUCACUUUUAGUUGCCAUCAUUUAGUUGGGCACUCUGAAAGAACUGCCAGUGAUAAGCUGGAGGAAGGUGGGGAUGACGUCAAGUCCUCAUGGCCCUUACGUGUUGGGCUACACACGUGCUACAAUGGUAUCUACAACAGGAAGCAAAACUGCGAAGUUAAGCAAAUCCUUAAAAGAUACCUCAGUUCGGAUUGCACUCUGCAACUCGAGUGCAUGAAGCUGGAAUUACUAGUAA
rnacentral:rRNA from 1 species